UGCAUUAGUUUUUUGAAGUGCUGUUGGGGUUGGGGCUGCGUGAUCGUCACUGGCGUCCUCCAGAGUGCCCACCGAUCAGAGAGUCGUACGAACCGCAAGCUUUGAACGUCUGUUUAUCGCACCAUCGAAAGCGGCGGCACAGAAGGCGCGAUGUGAGCUCCGGUGGGAACAGCAGCCCUUUGUCUCGUAACGGUGCCGUCCAGACUGGCCAUGAGACCAGCGAGUUUGCUGUAGAAACAGCCAUUUGGGAGUGGCUGCGUCACGCUUCUGCCAGGCACAGAACUGCCAUUGCCAAGGACUGUGCCACUGAACAGCCCGGAUAUGUGUGGCA